rnacentral:rRNA from 1 species
GACAGAGGGUGCAAACGUUGUUCGGAAUUACUGGGCGUAAAGCGCAUGUAGGCGGCCCGGCAGGUCGGAUGUGAAAGCCCUUGGCUCAACCAAGGAAGUGCAUUCGAAACCGCCAGGCUUGAGUCCCGGAGAGGAAGGUGGAAUUCCGAGUGUAGAGGUGAAAUUCGUAGAUAUUCGGAAGAACACCAGUGGCGAAGGCGACUCACUGGACAUGUAUUGACGCUGAGGUACGAAAGCGUGGGGAGCAAACAGG